rnacentral:rRNA from 1 species
AUACGUAGGGGGCGAGCGUUGUCCGGAAUGAUUGGGCGUAAAGGGCGCGUAGGCGGCCCGGUAAGUCUGGAGUGAAAGUCCCGUUUUUAAGAUGGGAAUUGCUUUGGAUACUGUCGGGCUUGAGUGCAGGAGAGGUAAGUGGAAUUCCCAGUGUAGCGGUGAAAUGCGUAGAGAUUGGGAGGAACACCAGUGGCGAAGGCGACUUACUGGACUGUAACUGACGCUGAGGCGCGAAAGUGUGGGGAGCAAACAGGAUUAGAUACCCUGGUAGUCCACACCGUAAACGAUGAAUGCUAGGUGUAGGGGGUAUCGACCCCUUCUGUGCCGCAGUCAACACAAUAAGCAUUCCGCCUGGGGAGUACGGCCGCAAGGUUGAAACUCAAAUGAAUUGACGGGG